rnacentral:lncRNA from 1 species
AACACUAACAUCAAGAGUACAAGCAAGGUUUAUUAGAAUUGAAACAAGUUAUCAUUUACCUUGCAGCAGGAUGCAUACCAGCGCCCAGGGUUGUCAAAUGUCCAAUCAUACUUCACAUGGAGAGGAAACCCAUGCUCGCACUUAUUUUCAGGAUGCACAAUGAUAACAUCAGGCGACGGCGAUCUAGUGCUAAUAGUGAGUCUAGGUUCAUCUAGAAGCUAAUAAAAUACAAGAACCUAUCAAAUUAUAAACUAACUGCAUCACGAAAGUCAUUGUAACUUGAAAUUAAUGCCUAGCUUUGCACUUCAUAAACUAUAGCCUAUCAACUUCUAACACCAAUCGAAAUGCAAAAAUCUAAGGGUACAACGAAAUCAAAAUCUUGUCUCUUCAACCCAGAUCCCCAAAUCUAGAAAUCCACUUCCCUAUGAUGAUAGGGGAAAGUAGCGGCAAAAACCAAGGGACUGACCUGACCAUACCUCCUCCUCCUUCCAUCGCUGCUAGGAACCACCAUUCCCACCACUGGUCGUUGCAGAUCUGCGCACCUAUGCUAGCUCUA